ensembl:processed_transcript
CGCAGCUCCCAGUGGUCCUUCAGCACCAUCAGCAGCAGCACACAGCGCUCCUACAACGCCUGCUGCAGUGCUUAUCCUGGUCGGCGUGGGACUGGAGGUGGCCCCCUCUCCAGGUGUCUCCAGUGCCAUCUUCUUUGUGCCG